rnacentral:rRNA from 1 species
AUUGAACGCUGGCGGCAUGCCUAUCACAUGCAAGUCGAACGUGAAGCCAGAGCUUGCUCUGGUGGAAAGUGGCAGACGGGUGAGUAACGCGUGGGAACCUACCUAGUGGUACGGAACAACCGUUGGAAACGACGGCUAAUACCGUAUACGCCCUCCGGGGGAAAGAUUUAUCGCCAUUAGACGGGCCCGCGUUGGAUUAGCUUGUUGGUGAGGUAACGGCUCACCAAGGCGACGAUCCAUAGCUGGUCUGAGAGGAUGAUCAGCCACACUGGGACUUAGACACGGCCCAGACUCCUACGGGAGGCAGCAGUGGGGAAUAUUGCACAAUGGGCGCAAGCCUGAUGCAGCCAUGCCGCGUGAGUGAAGAAGGCCCUAGGGUUGUAAAGCUCUUUCGUCGGUGAAGAUAAUGACGGUAACCGAAGAAGAAGCCCCGGCUAACUCCGUG